AUACGUAGGGGGCGAGCGUUGUCCGGAAUUAUUGGGCGUAAAGGGCGUGUAGGCGGCUAUGCAAGUCGGCUGUGAAACCCCCCGGCUCAACUGGGGGCUUGCAGUUGAAACUGUGUAGCUUGAGUGCAGGAGAGGAGGGUGGAAUUCCUGGUGUAGCGGUGAAAUGCGUAGAUAUCAGGAGGAACACUGGUGGCGAAGGCGGCCUUCUGGCCUGUUACUGACGCUGAGGCGCGAAAGCCAGGGGGGCGAACAGGAUUAGAUACCCUGGUAGUCCUGGCUGUAAACGCUGGGUACUAGGUGUAGGUGGUUUAAUGCCAUCUGUGCCGUAGUUAACGCAUUAAGUACCCCGCCUGGGGAGUACGAUCGCAAGGUUGAA
rnacentral:rRNA from 1 species